GAUGAACGCUGGCGGCGUGCCUAAUACAUGCAAGUCGAGCGAACAGAUGAGGAGCUUGCUCCUCUGACGUUAGCGGCGGACGGGGGAGUAACACGUGGAUAACCUACCUAUAAGACUGGGAUAACUUCGGGAAACCGGAGCUAAUACCGGAUAAUAUAUUGAACCGCAUGGUUCAAUAGUGACAGACGGUUUUGCUGUCACUUAUAGAUGGAUCCGCGCCGCAUUAGCUAGUUGGUAAGGUAACGGCUUACCAAGGCAACGAUGCGUAGCCGACCUGAGAGGGUGAUCGGCCACACUGGAACUGAGACACGGUCCAGACUCCGACGGGGGGAAGCAGUAGGGAAUCUUCCGCAAUGGGCGAAAGCCUGACGGAGCAACGCCGCGUGAGUGAUGAAGGUCUUCGGAUCGUAAAACUCUGUUAUUCGGGAAGUACAAAUGUGUAAGUAACUAUGCACGUCUUGACGGUACCUAAUCAGAAAGCCACGGCUAACUACGUG
rnacentral:rRNA from 1 species